CCAAGGAGCUCAACAUCUGCGCGAGUCACUCGGUCUUGAAUAGGCCUGAGAGGCGAAAUAAACAUAACGGUAUGAUCCUUUUAUGUCUUUCGAGACAGAUUAGGCGCAAUACCGACCUGCUUCAAGUGCUUUACGGCACUGAAGCGGCGUUUGAGCGUAGAUGUUGAUACCCGAAAGAUGGUGAACUAUACUUGGGCAGGACGAAGCCAGAGGAAACUCUGGUGGAGGUCUGCCGCGGUUCUGACGUGCAAAUCGAUCGUCAGACCUGAGUAUAGGGGCGAAAGACUAAUCGAACCAUC
rnacentral:rRNA from 1 species